rnacentral:rRNA from 1 species
CCCUUAGAUGUCCUGGGCCGCACGCGCGCUACACUGAUGCAUUCAACGAGCCUAUCCUUGACCGACAGGUCCGGGUAAUCUUUGAAUCUGCAUCGUGACGGGGAUAGAUUAUUGCAAUUAUUAAUCUUCAACGAGGAAUGCCUAGUAGGCGCAAGUCAUCAGCUUGCGUCGAUUACGUCCCUGCCCUUUGUACACACCGCCCGUCGCUCCUACCGAUUGGGUGUGCUGGUGAAAUGUUCGGAUCGGCCGUUUGUCGCGGUUUCCGCGGCUCGUGGCUGAGAAGUUCAUUAAACCCUCCCACCUAGAGGAAGGAGAAGUCGUAACA